rnacentral:lncRNA from 1 species
GGGGGAGGUUGGCAAACACAGUCAUUCACCCCUAGAACUUCAAGCUGAAAUGCUGGGAGAAUCUGGUACUACUCAUGAAGUAGGAGUAUGUCUAUCUGUUGGAAUUUUGAUGUCGGGGCAUACAUAUAUGUUUAAAUUUUUUUUUCUAAACAUGACAGCAAAAUAGAAAAUUAAAACUCUUUUUAAUCUAUAUCAUGCAU